CUCGGAGCCCCUGGUGAUGAAGACGCCGUAAGUCUGUGAUCACCCUUGCAGACCGAAGGAAUGUAUUGAGUGAUUGAGUUUCUUUACAUCUUCACCAGCGUUCAGCCACCAAAGACCUUGUGAAAAAGUGAUGCCACACUGAAAAGGCGUAUGUAACCCACCACCGAGACCGAUGCUGAAGCUCCGAUAAAGGCUCUGAUACAAAGAGCCGCUCAUUGGAAAAGACCCCGAUGCUGGGAAAGAUUGAGGGCGGGAGAGUGGUCACAAAGGACAUGAAGUGGUCACAAAGAUUGUGGUCACAACAGACAUGAGUUUGAGCAAACUCCGGGAGACGGUGAAGGACAGGGCAGCCUGGCGUGCUGCAGUUCAUGGGGCUGCAAAAGUCGGACACGACGGAGUGAACAACAGCACCUGAGCCUUUAGCACCCAUACUGCAAUUGCAUUUCCGGCGUGGAGGCAGUGGCGCCUACCAAGGGUGCAUUCACGUUCCGAACAAAAGCCAAGUUAAGGCAUCAAUGCUGGAAUUCAUGGAAGUCCGUGUCCCAAAUGGAGUGGACUUUACAAGUCUUUCAGUGUGACACCAGUGUAGAUCAUUAAUGUGAAGACACAACAUUUUAUAAAGGGAAUGAUUUUUAAAUUCUGCGGUAUUCUUGUUCUGUGAAAUGGAAACCUGUCACUCAAACACCAAAUGCAGCUCAGUGUGUUGGGGAGUUCUCACAGAACUGUUAGAGUUGUUUCAGUGAUGGCCAGGGGCUCUGCAUGCCUUGGGCUCAGUCCCAUGGAAGGGAGCCGGUGCUGAGCAGAGUGCCUGGCCUGGCCUCUGGAGUGGUCAUUUACCGUGGGUGCAAGGGGAGGGGACAUCCAAGUGUCACAAAGGGGGACGGGUUCUAGAAAAUAAUAUUCAUUAGGGAGGCACUCAGAGGGCUUCUCAGGUGGCGCUACUGGUAAGGAACCCACCUGCCAAAGCAGGAGACAUGAGAGUCGUGGGUUCCAUCCCUGGUUGGGCCGAUCCCCUGGGGGAGGAAAUGGCAGCCCACUCCAUAUUCUUGCCUGGAGAAUUCCGUGGACAGAGGAGCCUGGAGGGCUACAGUCCAUGGGGUCGAAAAGAGGCAGACACGACUGAGCAACUGAGCACAUACACAGAUGUGCUAAGUCAGGAGAGGGAAGAAGGCGUAUAUAGGAGGCAAGAUCUGUGAUGGUCCUAGCGCUAGAAGGCUAAUUCAGAGUGGGGGUACAAACAGAUAAAGAGAAGGAGAGGCGGGGUGAAGGCAAAAGUUAGCCUUACUUACAGGGAGAGAAUGCAG
ensembl:lncRNA